rnacentral:rRNA from 1 species
CGAACGGGUGAGUAAUGCGUGACCAACCUGCCCCAUGCUCCAGAAUAGCUCUUGGAAACGGGUGGUAAUGCUGGAUGCUCCAACUUGACGCAUGUCUUGUUGGGAAAGUGUUUAGUGGCAUGGGAUGGGGUCGCGUCCUAUCAGCUUGUAGGCGGGGUAAUGGCCCACCUAGGCUUCGACGGGUAGCCGGCCUGAGAGGGCGGACGGCCACAUUGGGACUGAGAUACGGCCCAGACUCCUACGGGAGGCAGCAGAG